UAAUGAUCAAAGUUUCACCCUAAGUUUCACCUUAAUUUCAACAGGGAAUCCUUGAGGUGGGAGACAAGAACUGUGCACCCGGUGAAUGAGAGAAGACACUGUCAGAUUGUGCCUGGGGUCAGUUGGAGCUCAUCUAAAAGUGGAAGCUAUAAUUACAGGUCUCUGCUCAAGUGUCUCUUUGGCAGAGAGGUCUUCCCUGACUAGCCCAUCUCAAGAGCCCUCCCACCCAGGACACUGCCCAGGCAAGGUGCAACUCAAGGAGGAUGUUAUGGCUUGAGAACUGGUGGUCAACUUAACGCCAGCUGGAUUACAUCAGCUUGCAUUGAGAGAAGAUGCUCCACCUGAGGAGGGUUGCCAGGAUAAAUAGGUGGAGAAGAAGAGAGGUGUUGGGAGGGAUUGAGGCAUUAAAUAGGAGGCAUUGUGGGUUCUCUUACGAGUUGCUGUCUGAGCUGUUGGUUCUCCUGGAGAAGCUCUGGUCUUCACAUCAAGCAUCGCUUCCUGGCUCUGGAGGGGAAGACAUGUUCUGCUUGGUCUCCAGGAUGAACUCGUCACACUGCUUCCUGGCACGUACCCGACUGUUCUUGUCGUCGGAGGAGCUCGGGGCCUCCGUGUCGCUGAGGACAGCAGUGGUGCCUUUCAGGAUAUCCAUGAUCUUUGUUGUGAGUGUGACUUCCCGGCUCCAGUGUAGAACCCUCAUCCCACUAGCACAGCUCCUUCAUCCUGCUGGCAUAGACUUUCUGGCUUCCACCACUGACCCUUGGGUCUUCCUGGUACGGAUCCAUAAAAGAGACUGGUGUGAGUCCUUCUUGUGGGCUCUGGACCUCCAGUUGGACUCGUGGGAGGUAUUGUUCUGAGCUCUGGGUUUUUAUCUGGACUCAUGUGGAACAUUGCCAUAGGGUUUAGGCUCUUGAUCUAUGUCUUUGGUGUUGCGGAUAGAUUUCCUGCAUUUUCUUAUGUUAAAUUCUGGUGACCAUUAUAAAAAUAUUAUGAACUUCAUGUCCUAAUCCUUGUUGUUCUCUGUGUACAACCCCUGACUACAACAGAGGGAAUAAAGAGACAAACACAUAGCUGCAAUUGUGGGUGUCAAAGGGAUUCUA